rnacentral:rRNA from 1 species
UACGGAGGGUGCAAGCGUUAUCCGGAUUCACUGGGCUUAAAGGGUGCGUAGGUGGGCAGGUAAGUCAGUGGUGAAAUCUUUGGGCUUAACCCGAAAACUGCCAUUGAUACUAUUUGUCUUGAAUAUUGUGGAGGUCAGCGGAAUAUGUCAUGUAGCGGUGAAAUGCUUAGAUAUGACAUAGAACACCAAUUGCGAAGGCAGCUGGCUACACAUAUAUUGACACUGAUGCACGAAAGCGUGGGGAUCAAACAGG